rnacentral:rRNA from 1 species
UACAGAGGGUGCUAGCGUUGUUCGGAAUCAUUGGGCAUAAAGCGCACGUAGGCGGUCUAGCAAGUCGGGUGUGAAAUCCCUCGGCUUAACCGAGGAAGUGCAUUCGAAACUACUGGACUUGAAUACUCAAGAGGGUCUCGGAAUUCCCGGUGUAGAGGUGAAAUUCGUAGAUAUCGGGAGGAACACCAGUGGCGAAGGCGGAGACCUGGGGAGAUAUUGACGCUGAGGUGCGAAAGCGUGGGGAGCAAACAGG